UUAACCAACUGGUACACCCGACCCAUGUGUAUACACUUAAACCUCCAACCUAGCAAACAUGUAGAAUCCCUCGGCCGUUUUCACGCGUUUCCUCCACUCCCUCCGACGAACACUCAAGCGCAAAAUCCACGGAGAAAAACAAAAGUAUCGAAUUCUCCAAUCGACGAAGUCGGAUUUGUCUUCUUCGAAUCAACUCGAAUCGACAUCAAUCGUACUUGUAAGGGUCAUGGACGUCUGCGUCGCGUUCAAGAAUCUCGAUCCGGCAGAAGAAACUCACUGAAACGGAGUUAUGAACGGAUAACAACUCUUAUCCCUCCUCAGUUUCGAUCCUUCCUUCUUCUUCUCCAACUCGUCGAGAUCGUAUGCACAACAUUGAAAUGGUGACGCUGCACUUUGAGUUUAUGCAUUGUUUUGCGAUUGGUGACGCAUUCUGGUAUUGCAACGCGGAAGAAUCAUUAGUCGACAGAAAGAAAGCAGACGAAAGCUAAACGGAUUUGACUCCGAUGCGGUGGCUCCGGUGUCGUCAGUGACGUUCGCAGGGAGCUUCUACUUUCCUGAAACCUUGAAUAUAGCCUGAGAUUUGGGAAGUUAAUUUGAAAUUGAAUGUGUAUUGAAUAGGGUAAAAAGUAUAACUUUGUGUAUUGAAUAGCAUUUGGAAUUAAAUUGUAUUAAAAGUUAUUGAAUUUACAUUGAUGGAGAAAUUUGAAUUAUGUAUGAGAAUUUGAAUAUGGAAUUACAUGGUUUAUGGAAAAAAAAAUGCUAUUAAGAUUUAA